UUUUCCCUGCACUGAUCUUAACCCGGUUCAUCCCGCAGCGCCAGUUCUGCUUACCAAAAGUGGCCCACUAGGCGGCUCGCAUUCCACGCCCGGCUCCAAGCCAGCGAGCCGGGCUUCUUACCCAUUUAAAGUUUGAGAAUAGGGUGAGGUCCGUUUCGGCCCCAGGGCCUCUAGUCAUUUGCUUUACCAGAUGAAACUGUGAGGGACACUGAGCGCCAGCUAUCCUGAGGGAAACUUUGGAGGGAACCAGCUACUAGACGGUUCGAUUAGUCUUUUGCCCCUAUACCCAAGAUCGGAAGAGCUUCGUGU